GUUAAGUGCAAUUAUAAAUUUUUAUGUCAACUUUAAUCGUUUGUCUUAUUUAAAUUUUUUUAUAAUUAGUAUUUUUAUUGUUAUGAGAUGAUAAAAUAUUAAUAAUACUUCUUUAUAUAUGACUUAUGUUUUUAAAAUUUUUCUAAAAAAAUUUUAUACAAGAAGAACGGUUAAAAUUAUACUCGGAAAAUUAUG
rnacentral:pre_miRNA from 1 species